GCGACCCCAGGUCAGGGGGGAUUACCCGCUGAGUUUAAGCAUAUCAAUAAGCGGAGGAAAAAAAACUUACCAGGAUUCCCUUAUUAACGGGGAGGGAACCGGGGAAUUUCAAA
rnacentral:rRNA from 1 species